ACGGCCCAGACUCCUACGGGAGGCAGCAGUAGGGAAUCUUCCGCAAUGGACGAAAGUCUGACGGAGCAACGCCGCGUGAGUGAAGAAGGUUUUCGGAUCGUAAAGCUCUGUUGUCAGGGAAGAACAAGUACGGAAGUAACUGUCCGUACCUUGACGGUACCUGACCAGAAAGCCACGGCUAACUACGUGCCAGCAGCCGCGGUAAUACGUAGGUGGCAAGCGUUGUCCGGAAUUAUUGGGCGUAAAGCGCGCGCAGGCGGCUUCUUAAGUCUGAUGUGAAAGCCCACGGCUCAACCGUGGAGGGUCAUUGGAAACUGGGAGGCUUGAGUGCAGAAGAGGAGAGCGGAAUUCCACGUGUAGCGGUGAAAUGCGUAGAGAUGUGGAGGAACACCAGUGGCGAAGGCGGCUCUCUGGUCUGUAACUGACGCUGAGGCGCGAAAGCGUGGGGAGCGAACAGGAUUAGAUACCCUGGUAGUCCACGCCGUAAACGAUGAGUGCUAAGUGUUGGAGGGUUUCCGCCCUUCAGUGCUGCAGCUAACGCAUUAAGCACUCCGCCUGGGGAGUACGGCCGCAAGGCUGAAACUCAAAGGAAUUGACGGGGGCCCGCACAAGCGGUGGAGCAUGUGGUUUAAUUCGAAGCAACGCGAAGAACCUUACCAGGUCUUGACAUCCCGCUGACCGGUCUGGAGACAGGCCUUUCCCUUCGGGGACAGCGGUGACAGGUGGUGCAUGGUUGUCGUCAGCUCGUGUCGUGAGAUGUUGGGUUAAGUCCCGCAACGAGCGCAACCCUUGAUCUUAGUUGCCAGCAUUCAGU
rnacentral:rRNA from 1 species